GUCGUAACAAGGUAGCCGUAUCGGAAGGUGCGGCUGGAUCACCUCCUUUCUAAGGAAUAUUUCGGAAGACUACACAUCGUUUGCCUUUGUUCAGUUUUGAGAGGUUUACUCUCAAACAAAUUUGUUCAUUGAAAACUGGAUAUCGAAGAAAAAAUCAAAACAAGUAACACACACCGAGUUGAAAUGUUAAAAGAGUUUUUUAAUAAGUUCAACGCUUAUUUUCUUGAGCAACCUUCUAUCGCUAGAAGAAGUACUCAAAACCGACCGUAAGGUCAAAGGUUAAGUGAAUAAGGGCGCACGGUGGAUGCCUUGGC
rnacentral:misc_RNA from 1 species